rnacentral:sRNA from 1 species
UCUUGUCCACUCUGAAUACGCCGUUCUUGUUCAGUCCAUUGGCG